AGCAGCCGCGGUAAUUCCAGCUCCAAUAGCGUAUAUUAAAGUUGUUGCAGUUAAAAAGCUCGUAGUUGAAUUUCGGGAUCAAUUUGCUGGUCGUGCCUUCGGUACGCACUGGUAUUAUUGGUUUCUCCUUUCUGAUGAAUCGCGAUGUCAUUAAUUUGGUGUCGUGGGGAAUCAGGACUGUUACUUUGAAAAAUUAGAGUGUUUAAAGCAGGCUCACGCUUGAAUACAUUAGCAUGGAAUAAUGAAGUAGGACGUUUGAUUCUAUUUUGUUGGUUUCUAGGAUCGACGUAAUGAUUAAUAGGGAUAGUUGGGGGCAUUAGUAUUCAAUUGUCAGAGGUGAAAUUCUUGGAUUUAUCGAAGACUAACUACUGCGAAAGCAUUUGCCAAGGAUGUUUUCAUUAAUCAAGAACGAAAGUUAGGGGAUCGAAGACGAUCAGAUACCGUCGUAGU
rnacentral:rRNA from 1 species